GCUAAAUUGCUACAUCACCACGGCUGGAUGUAGUAUAUGAACGUCGCAGGUACGGCCACGAUUGUACAUCUCUUUGGUCUUCAACAAGAUCUCUUGGUAACAGAAAACAAGCCUUGAAAUUGGUAUCCUGAAAGAAGCCUUUUUAUCAGUGGCCUUGCAAAAAAAGAAAAAACUGCAGGAUGGAUCAGUUCUUUGGAAUGUACCUGCUUCUUGCUGUUGCCGUCCCUUUAGGUGCGCAAUACUUUGCUGACUCUAAAGCCUACAACGAUCACACCUGUGGGACUUGUUCGAAAGGCCGGAAACGUAGUUUGCAAAAACAAAAAACGCAGAUCUCACGUUUUUGGUGAAUCGAGGUUAUGCUAAGCAUGCGGAGGGCACGUGAUCAUGUUGAAUAUCUUUUAUUGAGCGACACGUUAUGGAAAGUGAGACUAAAUAUAUGUACAAAGGUUGCACGCACAUCCACUUGUUGAAAAACUGCAGAUGAUUAAAAACAAGUUGUUUCCUCUUGCGCAAAACUGCCAACAGUAACAUCCUGUAUCUUAGCAACACCAGAAGCGAUGAGCUUAUAUGAAGCGCUGGGGCUCACGACGAUAUUAGCUGUGGACGCUGCUACAUGAAUCAACUUCAGUGAGUGUCACCUAAAUACAAUCGAUGUUCGCUCGACGUCGCAGCUGUACGAUAGGUGUAUAUAUGUAGUAUUAAUAAAAUUCGAUAGCCAGUGCUGCAACCAAAAUCGCAGUUUCACGAGCAUCAGAGUCUAUUGAAAAGUAAGCCUGAGACCUGGCGUUGCUCUGUGGUAAGAUAUUUGAUCGCCACGCAGGUUGCUGAGAUUAAAUUUCUGCUCGGACCAUGAUAUUUACUCUGUGCGUUCGUUGGGUCAACGUUACCGAAGACAGUUUUUUCUUAACACUUUCGCGUUAAAACUACCCUUGUGUGUUCUUGAAGCAUCUGGGUAGAGACUGAGUUUCUAUCACCUGUGGCACAUGCCCGCACACCUGUGGCACACACUCGCCUUCGGGUAUGUGCCACUAUUUGAAGGGAGGUUUUUACGACGUGUGCGAUGAGAUAGUGACAUUAUUCCUGUCUUGACCUCUGCGUAUUAUUCGUCAAACCUUCGUACCCUUUAUGUUAUUUUGGUUCAAGCCCAGUGAAGAGGGUGAUCAUGAGAGC